UCUUUCCGACACAUAAAAUGAAAUCCUCUUUCCCAUUCACGCUUUCACACAUACACAUGUUGCUCUUGGUCUUGCCCUUGCCCGAUCCCCUUUCUCACUCCAAAAUUUCUGCUUCCGGUAGCUCCCAUCAGCUUGAUUCCUUGAUUCCCUGCCUUGAGCUUGCUUGUCCUCACCUGUAGCCACCCCCGCAGCUCGAUUCGCUUGUGCGGCCAUAGGGUGAACUUCGACGGUGGCUUGUUUGUCUCCUCGUACGCCUCCUCGGUCUCCUCCUAGGCUGGUAAUGGCGAUGGAGGGGUAGCAGGCCCAAGGUGUAGCUGCGCAAGGGAAGAGGUGAGAUCAUCAAGCUGCACGGUUUUGUUGCUGUCAAUAUCCGUGCAGGUGAUUUUGCCGUGGAUUUCUUCUCCCACAGCUGCUUUGAUCCAUCUUUAGUAUGAGGAUAGUGUAGUCGUUUUCUGCCUCAGCGCCGGCCAGACACAUCCUCCACAUCGGCAACAUUCUUCGAACUUUGAAGCGUGUUGCCCUACAGCAGAAAUAAGGAGGAGUUACAUGAACUGGGAACGAUUGGAUUGGACGUGGGGAGAGAAAAAGGAAAUGUUACCUCGCUGUUGGCGGGAAAGAGUAGUAAAGCUCCAACCUCAAUAUCGUCCUUGAUGAAGAGGUCGAAUUAUGGCCACUUACAGGGUAUGUGUAUGGUGUGUAUCUCAAGUCUCAACUCUCACAUGGUUGGUCUUCUAAUCUCCCUCUAGCCGGCUGACAGUGGGCAUGCACAACUCUAUUCACCCGACAUUGCUAGCGUGCAUGAAGGAUAGGCUUUGAGCCCAUCAAUCGUGUGUAACCUACUGAUCUGCUGAGUUGAGGUGCAUGGUAUAUGAUAAAAUGCCGAUCUGCUGAGUUGAGAUGCAUGAUGGAUAGCCACCGAGAUGUAGAUUAACCUUUUUUUUGAACAAACA